ACGAACGGCAGUACACAGCCUGGCAGUCCGGCGUGGGGCACACGUAGGACUCGGGCGUCUCCGGGGCCUGGCACACUACGCAGCGCCGACGUAUCAAGCGGCGCAGAAGAGGGCACAGGCGGUACAGAGUGUCCACCAGGGCGAAAGAAGCAGAUCCACAGAAGCAGAAAACCCUCCGGACUGCAAGAAUCCCUCAGUACCACGGCUCCCAUAUUCACCUUUAUUUUCUAUCCUUGAGACAAGGUCUCACAAUGUAGACCAGGCUGGCCUGGGAUUCAGAGAUCUGCCUGCCUCUGCCUCCUGAGUGCUGGCAUUAAAGGUGUGCGCCAUCAUGCCUUUCAGCUUUGCCUGCUGAACUCCUCAAACAAAACUCCUAUCCAGACGUCGCCUGUCUUUCCAGCCCUUUCUGACUCGCCCUGAGCUUUAAGUGUGUACAGACAUAGGUGUUCUCUGUGUAACUCCCAAAGUCCCAUUUAAUGCUUGUUUCUUAAGGAAAAAUUCUAAUUGUGAAAACACAUUAAAUUUGCAGAAAUAUGUUAAACUGUAAAAUAUGAAACAUAAAUCCCACUUUUAAAGAACAAUGCCACUGAGGGCUUCAAAGAAAUGCAAAGAUAGACUGGGGCACCCCCUUGUGGACAGACCUAUCACUGCAAUAUUGGGUUUCCCAGGCUGGGGACAACCCUUCCCCCCAGCUCUGUCCUGUUCCUGAGUGAUCUCACCCAGGUUGAAAGCCUGGCAGUGACUUUAGACUCUAAGCUUCCUCCCUUCCCGCCCCAAGCUUGACUUUGAGAACUUCUGUGCCUUUCCACUUCCUUCCAUUUUAGGCCAUCUUCCUGCCCUGUCUCAAUCUCCUCCGACCUAGCCUGGCCUCCACCCUCAUCCAUCUUGUGGCCACCUCCCUACCUCCCACUCCAUUCAGGGCCUUCCUGUAGGGGCUUUCCAGACUCUCCUAGCCAAGCUGUCCUCAGCUCAGGCCCCCACCCCAGUCACUGCCCCCAUAAACUGUGCCGAUGCCCACGUACGUCUGCUCAAGACACUACCCUACCUUCCCUUGACCACAGAUCCCACGUGCAGCCUCUG